UUUGGUUUCUUCGCCUCCUUAGUAUGUGUGACGUGUACAUUUCAAGAAGGCAAACAGACUGAAAUGGUAAAAUUGUGAAUGUGACUGGGGUUCAGGCACCGUUCCAGUCAAAGCAUUAAUUACUUCCAACAAUGAUUUGGUAAAGCAUUGAUGGCAAACAAAUCUAGAUUAAGACUCUAAUAACGCUACAUUUCUAUCCAGAGCCAUCAAAAGUCAUUCUUUCACCUUCAGGUUUAGUAACAUUUAAGGUAUUUAUGUCCUUAAUUUUAGUGUUUGAUAGAGUUGCAUCUGAUAGAUCUACAACGUGCUCUAAAUAUCUGUAGAAAAGCAUGAAAAUCACGAGUUUUCUCUUCCUUCUGUUGUUUUUCUUAUAUAAUUAUUGGAAAAUUUAAUUUCUUGAUUUUGUGUAAUCAGGUUUUGCUAUUUCCUGAAUUUUGAAAUUUUCAUGGAUACUAGGCAGCUUCACAUCAAGUUGAAGAAAAUCAAGGUUUUGGCCUCAAUUGUGUGCUUAUGGCUUUGGUUAGUCUGUUUGAGCAUCUGUUAUGUCAUAAUAAAGAUAUCAUCUCUUAGAUGCCUUAAGUGUGACAAGGAUCGUCUGUUCGUCUAUCCAGUANN
rnacentral:lncRNA from 1 species